GUCAGUUUGUCCGAGUGGUUAAGGAGUGAGACUUGAAAUCUCAUGGGCUCUGCCCGCGUAGGUUCAAACCCUGCAGCUGACG
rfam:Absidia repens strain NRRL 1336 BCR42scaffold_15, whole genome shotgun sequence.